CCUCCAUCCAGGCCAAUGAAUUCAGAACCCAUCUUGGACCUGGCAGUUUUCAAAGCCUCAGUUGAUAACACUGCGGCUGAACAGAGAUUCUGUUCUGAUCCUACGACUUGCCCUCUUCUGGAAUAGGUCCACGAAAUUGCAAAGCUGUCUUCAAGAGGCCAAAUGUGCCCCAAGACUAUCUUUGGUGUUUGACUGAAUGAAACCAAACAGCCACUUGCAGAAAAAAAGAAAGAAAACACCAGCCAGGAGCCCUGUCUUCCCAGCCUUCCGAUUCGCUGUGGCUGUGAAGCUUGGGCCUAGCUACCACUCCAUAAAAACUUCACGUCCGUCAACCGCAGGCAGCUAGGCAGAGAGCAAAGCUGGCGUCCGGCAGAUGGUCUGCCUUUGGAUGGGAAUUCUGCCUCCUCGUUCACAGGAAAUGAAAGCCGACAUGGCAUUCAAUACUGGAUUGUUAGGUAAUGGUGUGAGGUCAGAGGCCAGGAUCUGCUCAUUAAAAUUUCAGAUAGA